rnacentral:rRNA from 1 species
AUUGAACGCUGGCGGCAGGCCUAACACAUGCAAGUCGAGCGGAUGAAGGGAGCUUGCUCCUGGAUUCAGCGGCGGACGGGUGAGUAAUGCCUAGGAAUCUGCCUGGUAGUGGGGGAUAACGUCCGGAAACGGGCGCUAAUACCGCAUACGUCCUGAGUGUGAAAGUGGGGGAUCUUCGGACCUCACGCUAUCAGAUGAGCCUAGGUCGGAUUAGCUAGUUGGUGGGGUAAAGGCCUACCAAGGCGACGAUCCGUAACUGGUCUGAGAGGAUGAUCAGUCACACUGGAACUGAGACACGGUCCAGACUCCUACGGGAGGCAGCAGUGGGGAAUAUUGGACAAUGGGCGAAAGCCUGAUCCAGCCAUGCCGCGUGUGUGAAGAAGGUCUUCGGAUUGUAAAGCACUUUAAGUUGGGAGGAAGGGCAGUAAGUUAAUACCUUGCUGUUUUGACGUUACCAACAGAAUAAGCACCGGCUAACUUCGUG